CUUUUAUAAUAUAAAUAUUUUUAGUGUGUAGACUGCAGCAAUUUUUGUCUGGUUCCCAAAGAAACGUCCGGUCUUGCAUUAUCAUGUUAGAAAACAACACCCUUCCUGUUGACCAAUUCUGGAAGUUUCUCUUGAAUUUCUGA